CUAGCUGUAAACGAUGGAUACUAGGCGUUGAGAGUAUCGACCCUCUCAGUGUCGUAGCUAACGCGUUAAGUAUCCCGCCUGGGGAGUACGCGCGCAAGCGUGAAACUCAAAGGAAUUGACGGGGGCCCGCACAAGCGGUAGAGUAUGUGGUUUAAUUCGAUGCAACGCGAAGAACCUUACCAGGGCUUGACAUGUCCGGAACCCUGCCCAAAGGCGGGGGUGCCUACGGGAACCGGAACACAGGUGGUGC
rnacentral:rRNA from 1 species